AUGACUAACCACCAGACAACUAAUUGUUGUUAUCACAGAUUUGGUCUACCACCAACGAACCACCACACAAAUAACUAUUGGCGUCGCAGAUCUGGUCCACCAUCGACGAAUCACCACACAAAUAAUUGUUAUCAUUGUAGAUCUGGUCCACCACUGACGAACCACCACACCACUAAUUAUUACCGUAACAGAUCUGGUUCACAAUUAAUGAACCUUCACACUACUGCUGUUGUCGCUGCACCCCUCCCUUUGUCUUUCAAUUUUUACUUCUUUUUUUUCUUUCUAGUUUUGAUUUUCUCGAUAUAUGUUAUAAGAGUUUGGAAAUUCGAUUUAAGGAUUGAUGACAUAAAUCAGUAUCCUUUGAUGUUUGGGUUGUAG